AUUGGUCAAUGGGGGAAACCCUGAACCAGCAACGCCGCGUGAGGGAUGACGGCCUUCGGGUUGUAAACCUCUGUCCUCUGUGAAGAUAAUGACGGUAGCAGAGGAGGAAGCUCCGGCUAACUACGUGCCAGCAGCCGCGGUAAUACGUAGGGAGCAAGCGUUGUCCGGAUUUACUGGGUGUAAAGGGCGUGCAGCCGGGCCGGCAAGUCAGAUGUGAAAUCUGGAGGCUUAACCUCCAAACUGCAUUUGAAACUGUUGGUCUUGAGUACCGGAGAGGUUAUCGGAAUUCCUUGUGUAGCGGUGAAAUGCGUAGAUAUAAGGAAGAACACCAGUGGCGAAGGCGGAUAACUGGACGGCAACUGACGGUGAGGCGCGAAAGCGUGGGGAGCAAA
rnacentral:rRNA from 1 species